GGGCCAUUCAAAUGUAAAGCUCCAGUUGGCUGCUACUUUUUGUAUAUCCAAUCUCAUAUGGAGUGAAGAGGAAGGUUCCCAUGAACGACAAGAUAAGCUGAGAGAAUUAGGAGUAGUAGAUAUUUUACGUAAAUUGGUUCAAACUACAGAUCUCAACCUUUCUGACAAGGCAAAAACAGCGCUGCAACA